rnacentral:rRNA from 1 species
ACGCUCGACACCUACGGGAGACAGCAGUGGGGAAUAUUGCACAAUGGGGGAAACCCUGAUGCAGCGACGCCGCGUGAAGGAAGAAGUAUUUCGGUAUGUAAACUUCUAUCAGCAGGGAAGAAGAUGACGGUACCUGAGUAAGAAGCACCGGCUAAAUACGUGCCAGCAGCCGCGGUAAUCUGAGCGGGCUGGCAAGGC